rnacentral:rRNA from 1 species
GAUUAACGCUGGCGGCGUGCAUAACACAUGCAAGUCGAACGAUGAAACUUAGUCGACUUCUUCGGAAAGACACUAAGCGGAUUAGUGGCGAACGGGUGAGUAACGCGUGAGUAACCUGCCUUACACAAGGGGAUAGCCUUUGGAAACGAAGAAUAAUACCCUAUAAAACCAUAAAAGCACAUGCUAGAAUGGUCAAAGUGAUAGCGGUGUAAGAUGGACUUGCGUCUGAUUAGCUAGUUGGUGAGAUAAAAGCUCACCAAGGCAACGAUCAGUAGCCGGCUUGAGAGAGUGUACGGCCACAUUGGGACUGAGGCACGGCCCAGACUCCUACGGGAGGCAGCAGUGGGGAAUUUUGCACAAUGGGGGAAACCCUGAUGCAGCGACGCCGCGUGAUUUAGAAGGCCUUCGGGUUGUAAAAAUCUUUUGUAUAGGAAGAAAAUGACAGUACUAUACGAAUAAGGUCCGGCUAAUUACGUG